AAGAAUUGCCCUGUUUUUUCGAAAAUGGGUUCUAUUCCAAACCGUGUAUAUAUACCUUUGUUGCUUUGGCGGGCCGCCGUUUCGGCGUCGGCUCCGGCUGACUGUGCCCGCCAGAGGACCACAACUCUUUUGUUUAGUGAUGUCUGAGUACUAUAUAAUAGUUA
rnacentral:misc_RNA from 1 species